AGAUGUUAGGUUAAAUCCCCCCUUACUUCCCUGAGAGUAGGAGUAGCCCUGGAUGCUCACAGCUGUAAAAAUCCUGAAAAUGUAGAUUUACAUGGAAGAAACAUGUAAAUGCUUAUUCCCCAGGAAGUUAUGCUGUAUAAAAUUAUAUGAGAGCAGGUCUGUCUGUCUGAUAAACUGCAGAUCUGUGAUCCUCUCUGCAACAUCAAGUCAGUGGAUGUGUACCAAUUGUCUAACUGGAGACAACCAACAGUUUUAAAGAGUUUUGUUGAAGAGCAGGAGAUACCAUCUACCCCCAUCUAAUCUGUUGUAGACUGUGAAGGUACAAUCCACUUUCAGCAGGGCUACUCUUGGUAGGCUGGAAAACUGUCCUGGAAUCAAGACUUUGGCCUCACAUUAGGAGGAAAGGGCUCGUCUGGCUGGACUAUGAACAAAAACGACUUGGGGUGGUGUUGUUGUCAUAUGAGAGGAAAAGAAGAGCCUUAGUGAAAAACUGAAAAGCGUUGUCAGAGUGAUUGAUGUGUCCACGCUCGGCGGGGAAGCUCUGUUAAAAUGUGUCUGACUCACUAGAUGGCACUGCAGAACAGCUUGGCAGCGGUUUGCGGGUCCUUCGACGGGGAGAAAGCUUGAGGGAGUUUUUGUGUGUGAUGGAGCAGCAUCAUGUUUAAUCCACAAAAGAGUCUGCGUGAAGCCUGAGAAGCCUAAAUAUUUUCUAUGUACAGACGGAGCUGUGUCUGGGAGCAGGGCAUGGGCUUGUUUUUCCCCUGCUUGAAAUUUGAAAGAAAACAUUUGAAAGGGGUUUUCCAACUUGACGACGAUCGUGAAACAGGACGAACUGAAGCAUCAGGUGUUUGGGGCCAAGAAGGAAAAGGGCUGAGUGUCCUGAUAAUAGUCCUUGUAUUCUGGCUGCAGGAAAUUUUACAUGGAUUUUUACAAGCCCUUAUUAGACACCCUGUAAUUCCUGAUUCUCUUCUCCUGUUGGAGGGGUCCAAGGAUUUCCCCAGAUUUUCAUCAUGAAGCUAUGGAUAAAAUUACACUGGAAGAGUGAGAGCUGGAGAGAAUACAUAUGGGCAGACUGAAAUGGAGCUAUUAAAUAGGAAAGAGCUAUCCUCUGGGGUUUAAAGGAGUCACGAAGUACUUUCCCCUCCAAAAAAACAACUGGGGUUUACAGCAUCUGUGGGGGUCCUGAGCAGACCAAGGCAUCAGCAUCAGCCACCUCCUUGGUCAUCUGAUCCCAUCCUGUGGGUCUGCUGGGGAGCUGCAGAGCAGCUACACAGCACUGCACUACAAGAAUACCUCCUGCUUCCAUUGGCAGGGCCACAUUUUGGCUCUGUCACUGUGAACCCUCUGCCAUUCUCAGUUAUAAACAUACACAGCAACUCCUAUUUAAGGGUGAUUUGGGGGAGUUCAUUUCAUGGCUUAACAACGUGAGAUGACCUGUAUCAAUGGACCCCGUGAGCCUGGCUGGUUUCAAGAGAUGGUUUCAUUAGCAAGAGAAACCAGGUGAAGUUUGCCAGGGAAUGAAGCACUUUCCAUGUCCUGUGUUUUUUGUGCUGCUCCGGAUUCCUCACAUAGCAGCUCUGCUUAGGGACCCUCUCAGAUGUCCUGUCUAGCAGACAGUGCCCUGGAGGAAGGAAGACAGUAAAUCAACUUUGCCUCUUGCUACAGUAAAGCUAACAGCAGCUUUUUGCAGAAAGGACAGCUGGUUUACUAUGCAGUCAAUAAGGUUGUUUCCCUUCAAUUCCCUUCAAUUCAAUUAAAGCACCAGGAGCUAGACUCUUCAUAUGGUCUUUAGAUUUAAUAAUGCUGCAAAGCCUUUUCCCACAUACUGUGUGCAUGUUACUGGGGAAGCAUACCUGGCUUGGGGAGCGUGUGCUGGUUUCCCAAGCCAUGUUCGCAUCUGUGUAGGCACUGUAGCUCUAUCUUCAGAGGAAGGCUCCUUCUUCCUCCUCUGCCUCUGGUUUCACAGCUGAAUGCAGAGAGAAGUCUUGCUGUUGGGCUGUUGUUUGUUGGCCACUGACAAGUACUGUCUGGGCUGUGUGUGGUCGGUGUGCUGCCGUGGGAGCCCGAGGGCAGAAGGGAGCAGUACCAGGCAUGUGCUGCUCUGCUGUAGAUCCAUGCUUUCUAACCUCCAGUCCCAAACAUGCAAAUGUCCUCUCUUUCCCUGGGUUAAGUUUCUCAAAAAAUAUGUCCAAAAAAACUCGAACUUCAAAUAAACCCAUUUGGGUUUGCUUUAUUGGCCUUUCGUCUUUUGGAAUUUAAAUAUUAACUACAUAAA